AUCAUCAUCGUGGAGCAUGAUAUAAUGGAAAGAACCCGUCACCUGAGAGUCAGAAGGCCUUUGUUCCAUCCUGGAGCUGACAUAAACUUUCUAAGAAAACUUAAGGAGUUACUUUACCUCCCUAUGCCUCAGACCCUCUGGCACAUUCUUCCCUGGAUAGCGACUUUCUCAUUGAUCAUGCCCAGGGUGGACUCACUGUGGUUCUGCUUUCUGCAAGAUGGCUCCAGAGCCAGACAAAGGAUUUGAAGAAAUUCUCAAAUUAAGAAUAGACAAAGGUAUGUAAAUAUAACCAAGGAUUUGUGGGUAAAUGUGUUUGUGUCAUUUUAUGCAGGAUAGAAUUAGUUGUCCACACAUUACACUGAAUGCUAGAGGCGGUUAUAUAGAGAUACAGGUAUACACACAUAUAUUUCUGCUCCUACUUACUGACCAUGACUGAUAAAUUCUUAUACUUAAUAGAGUCUUUUUGGUAAAAUUAAAAUGGGCAUUUGAGUUAUAUCCAAGCAGUAACUUUUUCUUUCCUACUAAGGAGAGCAUAACUGAACGCAAAGAAGGAGGAGGAGGGAAUGGAAGAGUGGAGGAGCAGGAGUUGUAGAGAGAGGAAGAGAAGGAUGAUGUUAUUUUGUACAUGGCAUUUAAUAUAUAAAAUAGCCUGAAACUUUAAAAAUGUCUUAAUAUAUUAAUUAAAAUUUAUUAAUGUAUUAAUAUAUUACUUAUAAUUAAUAUAAAUUUUUCUUAAUAUAUUAAAAAUUUCUUAAUAUAUUAAUGUAUUAAUAACAAAUGCUAUACAACUCACCACUGUACAGAUAUGCUGAAAUGGAUUAUCCAGACUUGGGAGGCUGAGCAUGUCUUGAACCUAGAACUCUAGUUUCAAACACAAAACAUCUGUCUUAACUUGUAUUUCUAUAAAAAGUGAAAUUGCUUUUAAAAAAACUGAAUCUCCCUUAACCCACAUAGCUAAUAAAAUAAAAUUGAA
rnacentral:lncRNA from 13 species